UUUUAUAGCCUCGGCCCAGCGCGAUGAGCUCACUGCCCCCGUUCUCCAUUGGGCGUGGGUGACGUCGCUCAUUUGCAUCGUGGGGCGGGGCCAAGCCUCUGAUGCCCCUCUAGCUGUCGUUGCCCCGGUGACGCGCGGUAAACCGCACAACAGCGCGCAGCCUUGUGGGUUGACGUCAUGGGGGUGGACCCUGCGCCCGGACCGAUUACCCCGCCCCAGGAGCGCAGUGUAUAACCAAUGCCCCCAGCGCUGCCUCCCGCCAAGGCACGUCCCGGGUGGCGUGAUGAGCCCGGCCACCAGCCGCCUGCCCUCCCCAAGGCCCCGCCCCGCAUCCUCGCGUGGGGCCCCGGAGGGGCGGGGGCGGGGGCGGCGCCGGCCUCGGGGGACCAGUGGGGGUUGGGGCCUGGGUGGAUAAAUAACUCGCUGGCGCCCUCCACUCCACUACAUCUACAAAGUGCCUGCCUUAGCGCGGACCUACAUUCUGGCUCCAUGCAGGCUGGGGGCAGAAGGCCUUUAGGGAGGUGUUCCCGGCGGCUUCCUGGGCAUGUUGUCCAGAUCUGCCUGUCUCACCCCCACCCCAAAUCUCCAGUGGUGUGUUUGCCCCAGAAAGAUGAGGGAGGGGAGAGGAGCACUGCCAGAAGUUGCUGAAAGCGCUUUGAUCCUGAUACUUUUCACUGAGGAGUCUAAAAGUACGGAGUCCGACUUCCUGACUAAAGACUGAGAAACUGAGGCUCAGCAAAUUGUGACCAAGUUCCUGACCUCUUAUUCACCGAGUAGAACCCAGGCCUUCUGCUCUUCGGCAGCCGCCUACAUUUUUACUCUGCAUCUGCCAGGGCCUGCGGUAGGUCCCUAGGCAUGUAGGUCUCUGUGAGACCCCUCUCUGAGCCUAUGCAAUGGGACUAGAUUGGAGGUUAUGGGACCAUGCGUCUCUCCAAGCCAGAGAGCCCUCUGGGACACCCUAGUACUGCUCUUCCAUUUGGACCGACCUUAUGCCCGCCUCAUCAGCCAGGGCAAUAGGAGGCCUCAAUCCAUCAACCAGCCAUAUGCAGUGAACUAGGGGUAACUCCUGUUCUCUCAUUCAUUCUACACAAUCCGAUGAAGCACCUACUGUGAGCCAAGUGAUGGGGACAAACACCUCACCCAGCACCCAGUCUGAAAGAGGAACAACUGCAAGAAGGCUGAAGAGUGCCCCCUCCAUGGAAGGGGCAGGUAGACAAAUCCCUACAAAACCUCCCGAUGAAGUGCCGUACGUCCCAGACCUGUGUCCUGGCAAGUCGCCUCAUAGACGUGGGCCUCAGUUUCUUCAACCGGACAAAGGAGGAAAGCUGACAUUUAACUUCGGGCUCACAGCUCCUGCCUUCGAGAAGGGCGGGGGAGACAAUCUAGAGGCGAGAGAUGCAAGUGGGAGACACUAGCGAGUCCGAAUUCGAAUCCACGGCUGUCCCCCCACCAUCCCAACCCACCCCCGUCACGGUUUUAUCCUCUAGACCUCCGCCCACUCUCGAGCCUCUCCCUCGGAUUCUAACCCCCUCCCCUCUCCUCCCAUCUCCCUCCCCUCCCCCCACUGGCCCCGCUCCGCGCCCCGCGGGGCCGCUAAUUAAAUGCAGAGCUGGGGGGAGGGGCGGCUCGCUGUUAACCCCUUGCCGCCGGGCCUAGGAGGGCUUCCCGCAUCUGAGGGGAAGCGGGAACGCUGCUCAGCCCCCUCCGCUCCUGGCUUAAGGCCCUAGGACUAGCCCAUUUGAUGGACGGGUAAAUCGAGGCUAAGGGGCCAACCCCGAGGUUCUAGACAAGCCCUGAUUAAUCAGGGCCUCCGGAUAGGAGGGCCAGGGCUGGAAACAGCGGAGAGAAAAGGGAGACGGAGAGAAAGGCAGAAGGAGGUGGAAGGAGG